UACGUUCCCGGGCCUUGUACACACCGCCCGUCACAUCAUGAAAGCCGAUUGCACCCGAAGUGGCCUCACGGUCCCUAAGGUGUGGUUGGUGAUUGGGAUG
rnacentral:rRNA from 1 species